rnacentral:lncRNA from 1 species
AACCUUUUCACAAGAUACGUAGGGAAUUGGGAAUCCUAUAUUCGUCGUGCUUGAAAUAAAUUUGGUUUCCUAUUUCAUUUUCUUUGCUAUAUAUUUAUGUAGUACACUAACACUUUUUUGUAUCUAGCUUACUAUAACUAAUACUAUUGAUAUGUUUCUUUAACUCAUAUUUUUCUUUUAUAUCAUUGUUUGUAUUUUGUUCUUAUAUGUUC